rnacentral:rRNA from 2 species
GACGGAGGAUGCAAGCGUUAUCCGGAAUUAUUGGGCGUAAAGCGUCCGCAGGUGGCUGUUCAAGUCUGCUGUCAAAUUCCAGGGCUCAACCCUGGUUCGGCAGUGGAAACUGGAUAGCUAGAGUACGGUAGGGGCAGAGGGAAUUCCUGGUGUAGCGGUGAAAUGCGUAGAUAUCAGGAAGAACACCGGUGGCGAAAGCGCUCUGCUGGGCCGUAACUGACACUCAUGGACGAAAGCUAGGGGAGCGAAAGGG